UCAUAAAUGCAUCUUUUUCUUAACAGCAAUUCUUAUCAUUUCUUUUGUCUCAUCAACUUAGUGGUUUUUUUUUUUUUUUUUUUUUUCCCUGCCAGAAUCAUUGAAGAGAAAUAUGAAACAAGAAUUAGUUCCAAGAAGAACACCUCUGGAUGUCAUUGGUAACCUCCCCCAGCCCAAUACAUUCCAUUCAGCUUUGCUCUGAGCACUGUUUUCCUCUGUGCUUGCAACGCAACAACCCAUGUUGUUGAUCUUUUGAAUUCUAAUCUUCUUCAGAAUUGCUAAUAAUUUCCCUAUCAAACUACUGUCCAUUCUUUAGUAUCUGCCCCAAAAUUGUCUAGUGAUGUCGUUGAUGCCCUGUUCCUGGAGACUUUCAAGGUGAGGCUGGAUAAGCUCUGGGCAACCUGACCUAGCUGUGGUGUCCCUGCUUAUUGCAGGGGAGUUGGACUAGAUGGCCCUCCAAGUCCAUCUAGUCCAACCGUAAGGAUUCUAUGAUUCUAAUAUCAAGCAUCACACAAAAUGUGCAAGCUGGUAUCAAGCUUGACAUUUCAUCUCACUUGUAUCUAUGUCUUUUGUUAUACUUAAAACCCCUUCUUUAAGGUACCCUUCCAGUGAGCAUAGCAGACCUACAUUUACCCAAGUUACAAUUUUCUCUGCCCUCUUCCAAAGUAUGAAACGUAGCUAAGAAGUGGAGGAAGGAGUACCUUAGCUUUUCCCUAGAUCUCUGGCAUCACGUUGACUCCCACAACUGCACUUCCCUGUUCUACUUGCAGUUUUCAAGUCCCUGGGAGCUGAGUUCUUUCCAGUUCUUGCCUUGCACACUGCUUCAUUUCAAGCCACGCAGGGAUGCGCAAAACCGCCUACGCCGCUUAAGCAACGCGAAGCCUGCGAAGAGGAGCGCUGGGGCGGGCNNNNNNNNNNNNNNNNNNNNNNNNNGUGGGGCGGGGGCACCCCCCGGCCACGGGUUCGGAGCCGGGGAGCGCGGGUCGGCCCGGCCGCGCUUACAGCAGGUAUAUGGGGCGAGGGGGGGGACGGGACCGGGGUUCGCCUCGUGGAGCGCCGUCCGGGCGUCUGUGGGGUGGCGUGACCCGCUGUGCGGGGCUUCCUUCCGACGGCUCCGCGCCGCUCCGCGUGCCCUCAGUGGGAGCAGCCGGGCGCCGCCAUGCGCGGGCAGGCAGCGCGGCGGAGGCCUGGCGCCCCGGGCUGCGGUUUUCUUCUUGCUCGCACGGACGUACAUCAGCAGGUCGUUGUUCGUAGUGCUUGUCCAAAAUGGCACCCACCUGCUGACCGGGCCUGCUGCUGGGCUCCCAGUGCGGGUGUGUGUGCCAGCGCCUCCAGUCCUUCAGAGCUUGCAGGGAAGCAGUUCGCUGCUGCUUUGCAGUAAGGUUGGAAAUGGUGCAAUCUACACGAAAAAGUGGAUCCUGUGUUAUACAACUUCUUGGUUUUUUUUAGCCGUGGAUGUCCUGUGUAAGAUGUGGGUGUUAGGAAGCCUACGCUUGCCCUCAGCCUUGGCAGCAGCGCUGUGUGUGCAGAUGAUGACUCAAAUUCUCUUAAUUCUUUUUUUCCAGUGG
rnacentral:lncRNA from 1 species